rnacentral:lncRNA from 1 species
AUAAAAUAUUAUUUGUGAAAAUUGACUGAGGCAUGAGUCAGAAUGGUUCUACAUUUCACAAUAGGUCACCCUGCAGUGUGUGUAGUUAUGGGCACUGUUGGUGAUGACUAAGCACUUCCCUGCCAGAGCCCUGUCAGCUUUCUUAGUUAAUGAGGGUUCUAAAAAUACAGACUCCAUGUCCAAAUAUGACCACCUCGUUUACAUACUAUGCAUGAAAGUGUAAAAUGGUUUACAAUUUCAUUUCAUAUUUGAUGUAUCUAUCAGUAGUUAGAAGAAGACUGAGGUACAGAGUCACAUUUAACUCUAAUUAUAUUCUGUGUGUAACUGCAUAAAACAUCAGGAAUCAUCAGCCACCAGGAUGGCUUUAUGCUCACAAAAAUGCUUGGCUUAAGUUACAUUUAAGAGAGUUUCAGCAGUUUUGUAGAACAUUGGCACAUGCUAGUACAUUCUUUUCAUUGGUGACUUGUAUGACGGCCUAGAAGUUAUAUCCUUGAACAUGUCUUAUGCCCCAGUACAGGGGAAUGCCAGGGCCAGAAAGUGGGAAUGUAUAUGGGACUUUUGGAUAGCAUUUGAAAUGUAAUGAAAAAAAUAUCUAAUAAAAAUUGUUUAAAAAUAGUGCAACUGUUUACAUAAAAUCAGAAGACUGUGUUCCAUAACACGAAUCUAAUAUGACAAGUGUUAGGACAUUGGAAGAAUGGGUCUUGAGAAUCAGAUGAAUUUUAUCUGUGAGAAUCAUUCCAUUCAUGUGUCUAUGUCCCAACUUUUGUAUUGAGAGGAAGAGUCAUCAUAAUCACAGUGACUUUUAUUUUGGGAAUUUUAAAAUAAAAUAGCUGGCUAUGAAAAAAUGACGUUUCUAUAUCACUGAACAAAUUUACUAAUAACUACAUGGAUAUGUUCUUUCUGUUAUCUAUCCAGUGGUUACAUCCAAUAUUUGUACUAUGUUACCAUAUAUUUAUGAACAAUUAAUAUAGAACUAAAUUACUUUUUAUAACUAAUUCACUGCUCAUUUUAAAUUAUAACUGGUAUAUAUUUCUAUCUUUUUAAUGUCAACCAGGCUGGUCUCAAACUCAUAGAGAUCCUCAUGUCUGACUUAGAGGGUAUCAAUAUUAAAGGUCCAUGCGCCCACAUCCUGCUUUGUGGUUAUUUUACUGGAUUUUAUAAAGAAUGCUUUCAUAUCAGCACAUUCUUUAUGACACAAAUUCUUGCUCUCUAAAGAAUCUGAGUAGGAUGGAUGCAGUCUUUUUCAUAAGGGUCGUAAAACUCGUUAAUUUUCCUCAUGGGAUUAGCAAUAGGUAAAUGCUGUGCAGGUACUGUAGUCUGUGUGAGUCUGUGCUUGGAAGAUCCCACGAGCAAACUUGCUAACAAGACUAGCAAAACCAGAGAGCUCUUAGUUCAACUUAGAGAUUUUCCUGCAAGAAGUAGAGAGAAAUCAGACAUUAGAUGCUUACGAAUGGUCUCCACAUACACAUGCGCACAUAAGCACAUAGCUCUGCACACAUAUAUGAGCCCACACACAUGAGAGCACUUACACACACAGAUGCACACACACACACAUAUGUGAAUAUGCAAAAAGAAAAGAUAAAUACAUAAAAUAAAUAGAUACUGUGUUGAGUGUAUAUAUGUGCGUUUAAUGGCUAAAUUUUAACAGAUUUUAAAAUAUCUUGCACUUUAUCUUAAUAGAGUUUUAAAAUAACUAUGAGUGAUCUUCAGUCAUACUGUGACAAGCAGAUGUGAAUUGAUGAAUUCAUCAGGAAAUAAUUAUUAACUUGUAAAGUGCCUCUACUUAAUAAACUGACUCAAAUUAAGUCAUGUUUGUGAACAGUGAUAACUAAUCCACUUAAAUUAUAAUUCAUAUUAUAGAUACUAAGUUAUGAUGUUAUUCUAAAAAUACAUAAUCAAAUGG